UAUCUACUCCCUCCGUUCGGAAUUACUUGUCUCGGAAAUGGAUGUAUGUAGAACUAAAAUACGUCUAGAUACAUCCAUUUCUGCGACAAGUAAUUCGGAACGGAGGGAGUACUCU
rnacentral:pre_miRNA from 1 species